AUAUUUAUCUGGUUUUCCCAGGGCAAGGCUUAUCCAUUGCACUCCAGAUGCAAUGAUAAAAUAUAAUGAUAAAAAUCACCCCUGUGAUUUCCCCAAAUGUGGGAAGCUCAACUGCAUAAUUUGUGGUAGUGGGGGACUGCAUUCGUGCUUUCCCCUG
ensembl:snRNA U1 U1 spliceosomal RNA